CGAGGGUGAGUAAUGUCUGGGAAACUGCCCGAUGGAGGGGGAUAACUACUGGAAACGGUAGCUAAUACCGCAUAACGUCGCAAGACCAAAGAGGGGGACCUUCGGGCCUCUUGCCAUCGGAUGUGCCCAGAUGGGAUUAGCUAGUAGGUGGGGUAACGGCUCACCUAGGCGACGAUCCCUAGCUGGUCUGAGAGGAUGACCAGCCACACUGGAACUGAGACACGGUCCAG
rnacentral:rRNA from 1 species